AUUGAACGCUGGCGGCAGGCCUAACACAUGCAAGUCGAGCGAGCGGCGGACGGGUGGGUAAGGUCUGGGAAACUGCCUGACGUAGCGGGAUAACUACUGGAAACGGUAGCUAAUACCACAUACCAUCCGAUGGGUCCUGAUGGGAUUAGCUAGUAGGGGGGGUAAUGGCUCACCUCGGCGACCAUCCUUAGCUGGGCUGAGAGGCUGACCAGCCACACUAGAAUGGAGACACGGUCCAGACGCCUAAGGGAGGCAGCAGUGGGGAAUAUUUCACAAUGGGCGCAAGCCUGACCUAGCCAAGCCGCGUGUGUGAAGAAGGCUUUCGGGUUGUAAAGCUCUUUCAGCGGGGAGGCGUUACUCGAAGAAGAAGCACCGGCUAACUCCGUGCCAGCAGCCGCAGUAAUUC
rnacentral:rRNA from 1 species